UACAGAGGUCCCAAGCGUUGUUCGGAUUCACUGGGCGUAAAGGGUGCGUAGGCGGUCGGGUAAGUCUGACGUGAAAUCUCCGGGCCUAACCCGGAAACUGCGUUGGAUACUAUCCGGCUAGAGGAAUGGAGGGGAGACUGGAAUACUUGGUGUAGCAGUGAAAUGCGUAGAUAUCAAGUGGAACACCAGUGGCGAAGGCGAGUCUCUGGACAUUUCCUGACGCUGAGGCACGAAAGCCAGGGGAGCAAACGGG
rnacentral:rRNA from 1 species